rnacentral:rRNA from 1 species
UUAUUUUAAUAAAAAAAGGGACGAAUGGAUAACUAGGAUUGGCUAAAUAGGACGGGAAGACCGAAAAAGCGAGGAAGAGGCUUAGAAAUCGUAUCUCCAAGCGGAAACGCAGUGGAAAGAGCUGGGAAGUGAAACAUCUCAGUACCAGAGCCGACCGCAGAGAAAUCAAACGAGAUUCCGUAAGUAGCGGUGAGCGAAAGUGGAUUAGUCCAAUGAUGCGAGUAAAUAAUGGAAGAUAGGUGCCCAUACAUCUAAGACUAAAUGUUAGUCCAAUACCGAAAGAGAGAGUACUGUAAAGGAAAGUUGAAAGAGAUUUGAAAAGAUCUUGAAAUGAGUCCCUUAAAGCAGACGCAAGGCGUCGUACCUUUUGUAUAAUGGGUUCACAAGAGAAAGUUUGGCAGACUUAAGUUAUGGAACAAAGGUGAAGUGUAAUCAAGGGGGAAGCCUCUUUAGUCAAAUAACCCGAAACCAAGUGAUCUAACCAUGGGCAGUUCAAAGGAGCGAACCGGUGGUUGUAGCAAAAACCUCGGAGGACCUGUGGUUAGGGGUGAAAGACCAAUCGAACUUGGAAAUAGCUGGUUUUCUGCGAAAACUAUUGAAGUAGUGCGCCCACGAUUGUUUUUUCAUGGUAAAGUUCGAUCACUCCAAACCGAGGGAUUAACUAUGAAUGUGACAAAAACUGAAGUAGGCAGACAGACAAUAGGCGAUAAGGUCAAUUGUCAAAAGGGCAAACCCUAAUCAGAAGUUAAAGUCAUAGAUUUAUUUUGGGGUCCAAAAGGAUUCAAAUUGUCAAGUGAAAAAGAGAUAUUGGGUUGAGACAAUGAGAAAGUAGGCUUGGAGCCAGCCACCUUUGAAAGAUGACGUAGCAGUUCACUCAAGAAACUCUCCUAUCUCUAAAAUUAAGGUGGCUAAAAUGGAACUGAAACUCUGAGGGCGAGUCUCGCUUGGUAGCAGAACGUACUGUAAAGUGGCUCAGUGAAAGCCCUAAGCAUCAGAAAUGAUAAUGUGAACAUGAGUAAAAAAUCGUUGGAUCACUCCCUCAGGCUUCCAAGCCCAAGGGCUUGGGUAAGGCAGUCCCUAAGAUGGCGGCCCAAAGGUUGCAUCGAUGGGCCAUAGUAAUAGACGCACUUGGUGUGCCAGGAAAGAAUUACUAAAUAGACAUACAACUGUACUAACCUAACACAAGUGGGGGAUAGUGAGGGGAAAAUUUUUCUUAAGGAACUCGGCAAAAUGUUAGAGCCCCAUUAGGGGGCUUAUCAAAACACAGGGCCUCGACUGUUUACCAAAAACAUAGCUCUCUGCUAAUAUGAAAAUAGAAGUAUGGAGGGUGAGGCCUGCCCAAUGGUUGUAUCUAAAAGGGUCGGUAAGAGCCGACUUCAUAAAGACAAUUGAAUGGCCGCGGUAACACUGACCGUGAUAAUGUAGCGUAAUCAAUAGCCAAUUAAUUGUUGGCCGGUAUGAAUGGCGUCACGAAGGCCCCUCUGUCUUAAGAAGACUCCCAGUGAAAUUGAAUUCGUAGUGAAGAUGCUACGUCCAAAUUGUUAGACGAAAAGACCCCAUUGAGCUUUACUGGAAAGUUAUACGGCUGAAAUAUAAAACGUUUUAUUCUUGCUCUUAAAUAAAAAUUAUGUGGUUUAACCGUUUUAGGCCCCCACUCUUUUAUUUUAAGAGAGCUAACUCUCUAAUGAUGGGAGGAACGACGUAAGUUGGACAGUUUGGUUGGGGCGACCGCCUUUUAAAAAGUAACGAAGGUGAGCUUAAGGUGCACAAUUAAUAGCAGCAGCCUGACUGCAAGGGGGACGUCUCGAGCAGACACCAGAAGCCGUCUUAAGGCGGGGGAAAGGUGGGCUAUAGUGACCCGUUAAUUUAGAGUGGAAUAAUUAACGAUCAACGGAUAAAAGUUACCAUGGGGAUAACAGCGUAAUAUCGUUAGAGAGCUUUCAUCGACGACGAUGUUUGCGACCUCGAUGUUGAAUUGCAGCACCCUGGGGUGCAGCCGCCCCCAAGGGUUGGUCUGUUCGUCCACUAAGGCUGUACAUGAUUUGAGUUAAAAGCGUGGUAACACAGCUUGGUUUCUAUCUACAAUUUGAAGAAACAUCGAUAUAAUUAUUUUCUAGUACGAAAGGACCGAAAAACUAAUGAUCCUCUUAUUUUCUAUAAGUUACGAUCAAUUUAGAUUCUUUAGGAUUGAGGAGCUAAUCACUGACCGCCUCUAAAGUGUGAAGGAUAUAUCGAAUUGUUUGGAUCUGCUUUUA